AGGUUUUUCUCCAACACAUGAAUCAUCUAAACACUUGGAAAGCAAGUAACAGACUCAUCCAAGUAGGGGCAAAAUAGACUGAAUCCCAGUCUGCUGGUUCCCAGGCUCAACAAAGGAACCCCCUUCCUGGUCUUAGUGAGUCUCCACCUUAUGAGUCUUGAUUGGGAGCAUUUGGCAACCAUUGAUCUUUGGCCAUUUUGCCUCUUGACCGUUUUGCCUCUUCCAAAAUAUCAUGUACUUAGAAGCAGUAGCCUUUUCAGAUUGACUUCUUUCACUUUGCAACAUGCAGCCCUCCAAAGCUGUUGCGCUCAUGAAGAUAUCACUUUGGAAGAAAGAAUAAUUGCAUUGAAUGAGAGUAUACAGGACACUCUUGAAGUAUGUAUCAUGGUGUUUAAUCAUGAUAUUGUGAGUAAUUGGGAAUAUAAAGGUUCUUUCAAAAUG